GCAGUCGAGGGGCAGCAUUUCAGUUUGCUUGCAAACUGGAGAUGGCGACCGGCGCACGGGUGAGUAACACGUAUCCAACCUGCCGAUAACUCGGGGAUAGCCUUUCGAAAGAAAGAUUAAUACCCGAUGGUAUAAUCAGACCGCAUGGUCUUAUUAUUAAAGAAUUUCGGUUAUCGAUGGGGAUGCGUUCCAUUAGGCAGUUGGUGAGGUAACGGCUCACCAAACCUUCGAUGGAUAGGGGUUCUGAGAGGAAGGUCCCCCACAUUGGAACUGAGACACGGUCCAAACUCCUACGGGAGGCAGCAGUGAGGAAUAUUGGUCAAUGGGCGCAGGCCUGAACCAGCCAAGUAGCGUGAAGGAUGACUGCCCUAUGGGUUGUAAACUUCUUUUAUAUGGGAAUAAAGUUUUCCACGUGUGGAAUUUUGUAUGUACCAUAUGAAUAAGGAUCGGCUAACUCCGUGCCAGCAGCCGCGGUAAUACGGAGGAUCCGAGCGUUAUCCGGAUUUAUUGGGUUUAAAGGGAGCGUAGGUGGACAGUUAAGUCAGUUGUGAAAGUUUGCGGCUCAACCGUAAAAUUGCAGUUGAUACUGGCUGUCUUGAGUACAGUAGAGGUGGGCGGAAUUCGUGGUGUAGCGGUGAAAUGCUUAGAUAUCACGAAGAACUCCGAUUGCGAAGGCAGCUCACUGGACUGCAACUGACACUGAUGCUCGAAAGUGUGGGUAUCAAACAGGAUUAGAUACCCUGGUAGUCCACACAGUAAACGAUGAAUACUCGCUGUUUGCGAUAUACAGUAAGCGGCCAAGCGAAAGCAUUAAGUAUUCCACCUGGGGAGUACGCCGGCAACGGUGAAACUCAAAGGAAUUGACGGGGGCCCGCACAAGCGGAGGAACAUGUGGUUUAAUUCGAUGAUACGCGAGGAACCUUACCCGGGCUUAAAUUGCAUUUGAAUAANNUGGAAACAGGUUAGCCGCAAGGCAAAUGUGAAGGUGCUGCAUGGUUGUCGUCAGCUCGUGCCGUGAGGUGUCGGCUUAAGUGCCAUAACGAGCGCAACCCUUAUCUUUAGUUACUAACAGGUCAUGCUGAGGACUCUAGAGAGACUGCCGUCGUAAGAUGUGAGGAAGGUGGGGAUGACGUCAAAUCAGCACGGCCCUUACGUCCGGGGCUACACACGUGUUACAAUGGGGGGUACAGAAGGCAGCUACCUGGUGACAGGAUGCUAAUCCCAAAAGCCUCUCUCAGUUCGGAUCGAAGUCUGCAACCCGACUUCGUGAAGCUGGAUUCGCUAGUAAUCGCGCAUCAGCCAUGGCGCGGUGAAUACGUUCCCGGGCCUUGUACACACCGCCCGUCAAGCCAUGAAAGCCGGGGGUACCUGAAGUACGUAACCGCAAGGAGC
rnacentral:rRNA from 1 species